AUUAGGAGGAGGCUGCCAGCAACUCACUGCCAGUGUUGUCCCUUAGUGGAUUACCAGAACCUGACCUUGCCUUGUCAUGUGGAACUCUGCCUGGAUUAACAACUUCUGGAAAGAAGCUAUCCAGCUCCAUGAGCAAAAACUCUAACCACUCGUUACUUCAUUGGACCUCACCGGUUGGCAGCCUCCUGAAUUCUUCGCUCCUUGGAUUACCACUCAAGAACCCUGUCCACCCUCCUCCUUCCACUGCACUAACUUCUGAAACCCUGGACCGUCUUAUCAUUCUGGCACACCAUUAUCCACCAUCAUCUACCUCACAGUUGGUUUCCCGGUUCCAGUUUCCCUGCCCACGUCCCUACACUGUAAAUAAAC